GCCGAAGUGGCGAAAUCGGUAGACGCAGUUGAUUCAAAAUCAACCGCUUUUUGCAUGCCGGUUCGAAUCCGGCCUUCGGCA
rnacentral:tRNA from 1 species